rnacentral:tRNA from 1 species
CGGGUAGUAGCGCAGGGGCUAGCGCGACUGGUUCGGGACCAGUAGGUCGGAGGUUCAAUUCCUCUCUGCCCGA